rnacentral:rRNA from 1 species
UACGGAGGGGGCAAGCGUUAUCCGGAUUCACUGGGUUUAAAGGGUGCGUAGGUGGGCAGGUAAGUCAGUGGUGAAAUCUCCGAGCUUAACUCGGAAACUGCCGUUGAUACUAUUUGUCUUGAAUAUUGUGGAGGUAAGCGGAAUAUGUCAUGUAGCGGUGAAAUGCUUAGAUAUGACAUAGAACACCAAUUGCGAAGGCAGCUUACUACACAACGAUUGACGCUGAGGCACGAAAGCGUGGGGAUCAAACAGG